rnacentral:lncRNA from 1 species
CCCACGGUAUAUGGGGGUUCCCAGGCUAGGGGUUGAAUCAGAGCUGUAGCUGCCAGCCUAUACCACAGCCACAGCAACACAGGAUCCAAGCCACAUCUGUGACCUAUACCACAGCUCAUGCAACGCUGGAUCUUUAACCUACUGAGUGAGGCCAGGGGUUGAACCCACAUCCUCAUGGAUGCUAGUCAUGUUCAUAACCCACUGAGCCACAAUAGGAACUCCUGGCCACUAUUUCUUAACAAGUCUAAUUUCUGACAGGUCAUUUUUUUUUUUUAUAUCCUCAAGAUAUGCUUCUUUAAAAGAUGCCAUGUGAAAUUUUAGUUAUUCCUGGUUUUAUUUUGUAUCAGUUAGUCCUAAAAGUAAUGCUUAUUGGAAAGUGGAUAAAAGACUGAUUUUUAAAAAUCUAAUUAUACUAUUUUUUCCAGUUUUAUUGCAAUAGACUCGACAAAUAGCUGUGUGUAAGUUUAAAGUAUGUUGCUGUUCUUUUUUAUUGCAAAAAGCAUCGAUAAAGAAAAGGCAUUUUCCAUGGUAUGAUUAAAAUGGCAUGAUGCUUUGCUAGAUGAAAAUAAUCAUUUAGAAUGUGGGAAGUCCUACAAAUGAUAAAAACAGGCAUCCUCAGUUUCUGGGAGCAGGUUCUGUAAGGAAGAAAGCUUUCCAACAGGAAAUUCCCCUUAAAACAUGAUGGAAGACAAUAUGAGAAAAAGAAUGUAGGGAGUUCCAGUUGUGGCUUAGCAGUUAAGAACCCAACUUGUGUCCAAGAGGAUUCAGGUUCAAUCUCUGGCCUUGCUCGGGGGGUUAAGGAUCUGGCAUUGCCAUGUGCUACAGUGGGUUGUCAAGUAGACCAAACAUACCAAGCCAUUCCAUAAUAAUUUUCCCAUUGGUGUUUAUGUUACAUUACAUUCUGGAACUGGCUCCUUGCACAGUGAACUAGUGAGUCAUAUAGGGCAACACUGUGUCUUGAGAUUUGGGGAGCUAAGGAUUUAUUUAAUAGGUUUUAAGCUAUUAGAUUUUAUCGCUUAAAAGUAAGCUAAGGAUUUACUUAAAAUUAUCCGUGCACCUGCAGGCCUCCAAUUUUAGGGAACAAAAAAGAAAAUGUUUGCCAACACAAAUAGAAUAUGCAGAAAAAAAUACAUGUUGUUUAAAUGAGCAAUGGCUGUGGUCUCAUUGUUGGGAACACUGUCUUUUCUCAAAUAUCUGUAUCCAGCAGGAAGGACGAAUCUAACAGAGUAUAGCUGGGGGAAGUUAUUGGGAAAAAUCACAUUGUUCCAUAUUUACUCCAGGAGCUUCUUCCAUCUGUAAAGGGCUCAGAGUCUAGCAGCACCUGGCAAGCCCCCAAGGCACAGUGGCUGUCGCCUGUCAGUUGUCGGUAGGCUCUCCAGAAGGCGCUUUGGUUUCAGGCAACAAAAACCCACUUCAUUUUAUUUGAAAAAAAAAAAAAAAGUGAGAUGGGGCUUUAUCGGAAGGAGCUGAUUACAGCCAAGGAGACUAGGAGGUAAUAAUCAAUUAGAGUAUCUCAUUAUAGGUCCAGGAACAAAGUAUCAGGUGACAUCAGGAGGCACAAAAGGCAAGGCACCUGUCCUGUGGUCCUGGAUCCCCCACCGGACCCCCAUCUCAUCCCCCCCACCCGCCCUGUGCACGUGGAGCAAGCCCGCUAAGGAGCCAGUGGGGCUCAUGGGCGGCAAGGGGUUUCCACAGCUCCAGAGCAAACUACUGGCAAGUUAUCCAAACUUUCCGAGCCUUGGUUUCUUCAUUUAUAAGACAAGGACCAAGACGAUGAUGAUGAUGAUGAUGAUGAGGGGCCUCAUACAAGUGUGAGACUUAACACCUGCCUGAGAGUGGGCUGCCGUCAACGUUAAUCCCUCUCCUGCCCAAUACCAUUACAGAAAGUGUGACUUCAGUAACCCAGCUUAAUACCAGAACUGAUUCAUAUGAAUAUUAUAGACCUGUUGGCACCCUAAAGUGAUCUCAGUAUUACAUGGCUCUUUUUUAUUUAUUUUUGGCUGCAGCAUGCAGUGACUUGAUGUGGGAUCUCAGUUUCCAGACCAGGCAUUGCACCUGGGCCAAGUCCUAACCACCAGACCACCAGAAACUCCCAAGAGCGAUAUUUUUGGCAAAAAAAAAAAAAAAAAAGAUUAUUGCCUUUUUUGGUCUUAUCCCAUGAAUUGAAGGGCAGACAUUUCCCUAACUUUCCUUCAAGAACGAGCUUUACGAGUGGUACACUUAGCACCCCCACCCUCACUCCUGUCCCGUCCCCCCUCCCCACGUAAGAAUUCUUCAUCGCAGAGCAGGAAAUGGGACAGGGCUUGGCUUGAGUUAAAAGUUCCCUCAGUCCUGCAGCCAGAAUGCAGACAUAGGGAAAGGAAGAUAGCUCAGGGCAAGCACAGGGCUGAAGCUGCAGUGCAGAAACUUUUUGGACCCUGCCACCCUGGCACACCAGGCCUUGGGGACAAUGGCUGUGGGCUGGUGCAAGCAUCAUGCACUGAGGAACCCAGGGGGUUCUGAGCCAGGGAAAUGGUGAGCAAUGCCCCAAGGGAGACGAGCCUGUGGUGUGUGCCCUGCAAAGCCCUCUCAGCUUCAUUCUCCGAGAGAGGCAUGCAAGGACAAACAAGGCAGCAGAUUUAGGGGGGUUCCCCAGUCAGCCUACCCAGUUUGUCCAGCAGUGGGCCAAGAGAACAAGCCCAGAGUAGCUGGAGCACCUGCAGUUCGUCAUCAGAGCUACAGGGCAAGAGGGGGGGAUAGUGGCAGGUGCUAGCAGGGCCUGUGCUUCAACAGUGACAUCAUGUGGCACUGACUACACAUAAAAUAAACAACAAGGACCUACUGUAUAGCACAGGGAACUAUAUUCAAUGUCUUGUGACAACCUAUGAUGGAAAAGAAUCUGAAAAGGAGUGUGUGUAUAUAUAUAUAUUAAAUUUCUUUGCUGUACACUUGAAACUUUCAACACAUUGUAAAUCAGCUAUACUUCCAUUAAAAAAAAAAUAGCGGAAACAAUCCAAAUGUCCAUCGACAGAUGAUUGGAUUCGGAAGAAGUGGUAUAUAUACACAAUGGAAUACUACUCAGCCAUAAAAAAGGAUGACAUAAUGCCAUUUGCAGCAACAUGGAUGGAACUAGAGAAUCUCAUACUGAGUGAAAUGAGCCAGAAAGACAAAGACAAAUACCAUAUGAUAUCACUUAUAACUGGAAUCUAAUAUCCAGCACAAAUGAACAUCUCCUCAGAAAAGAAAAUCAUGGACUUGGAGAAGAGACUUGUGGUUGCCUGAUGGGAGGGGGAGGGAGUGGGAGGGAUCGGGAGCUUGGGCUUAUCAGACACAACCUAGAAUAGAUUUAUAAGGAGAUCCUGCUGAAUAGCAUUGAGAACUAUGUCUAGAUACUCAUGUCGCAACAGAAGAAAGGGUGGGGGAAAAAACUGUAACUGCAAUGUAUACAUCUAAGGAUGACCUGACCCCCUUGCUGUACAGUGGGAAAAUAAUAAAAAAAAAAAAAAA